CUUAUUGGCAGACUAUUGCACUAGAAUUAGAAUCUAAUUAUCC
rnacentral:tRNA from 1 species